AAAUACAGCUGUGUAUGUAAACAAAUGAUGAUCGGUAGCAGGAUUUUGUAACAGUAAAAAAAUGUAUCUACAUGCCAUGAAAAAAAAGUUUCCUAAUCAACUUGAAAAAUAAAUGGAGCCUAACGAGAUUGAGCAGGUUCAGGAGACAAUACAGACACACACAGACAGUGGCCGGAUCUUCUGAAGACCAUGAGGAAGGAAGUCCCUGGCCACAUCUAAAAGAAUACUUCAGCUUCAAGCAGAGAAGAGGAGACAGUGUAAUUAUGAAAUGUAAACUCUGCUUACCAAAGAUGGUGGAGGUGGCUGCCUACAAAAACUCUGUCAGACUUGAGAAAACAUGUAAGUUAAUGGUACGAAAAGUAAAGUUAGAAAUAUAUUUUGUCGCCAGGAAUGGUGUUUGUUGUGUAGGCUAUGUAAUGUAGCUAACACAUUGUUGCUACUAGCCAGGUGCAUUCAAUCUGUUGCAUAAUGCUAACGUUAGCUAGCUAAUUCUGUUGCUAGCUAGUUAGAAGCUAACCCUGAUCAACAUCUUUACACAGCUGAAGGAACUACAAGCUGUAGUGCAGGAUACUACCGCAUUGACAUUAUGGUGGCUAGUAGCUGGCCAUCCCCAUAAUGUUUUUAUUUUAUUUAUCCUUUAUUUAACCUGGUAGGCCAGUUGAGAACAAGUUCUCAUUUACAACUGUGACCUGGCCAAGAUAAAGCAAAGCAGUGUGACACAAACAACAACAUAGAGUUACACAUGGAAUAAACUAACUUACAGUUGUACAGUCUACACAAUAUUUAAAAAAAAUCUAUAUACAGUGUGUGCAAAUGAGGUAAGAUUAGGGAGGUAAGGCAAUAAAUAGGCCGUAGUGGCGAAGUAAUUACAAUUUAGCAAUUAACCACUGGAGUGAUAAAUGUGCAGAAGAUGAAUGUUCAAGUAGAGAUACUGAGGUGCAAAAAAACAACAAAAAAACAAUAUGGGGAUGAGGUAGUUGGAUGGGCUAUUUACAGAUGGGCUAUUGUCACGUUAACAACCUUUAUUUCCUUUGUUUUGUCUUUAUUUAGUAUGGUCAGGGUGUGAGUUGGGGUGGGCCUUCUAUGUUUGUUUUUCUAUGUUUGGUUUCUGUUUCGGCCUAGUAUGGUUCUCGAUCAGAGGCAGGUGUCGUUAGUUGUCUCUGAUUGAGAAUCAUACUUAGGUAGCCUGGGUUUCACUUUUGAGUUGUGGGUGUUUGUUUCCGUGUGAGUGUUUGUCGCCACACGGUACUGUUUCGGGUUUCGGUUUCCUCACAUCGUUUAUUGUUUUGUAUUUCAGUGUUCAGUUCAUUUUUAAUAAAUCAUCAUGAACACUGCAUCUUGGUCCGAUCCUUACUCUUCUUCAGAAGAAGAGGAGAUCUGCCGUUACAGCUAUGUACAGGUGCAAUGAUCUGUGAGCUGCUCUGACAGCUGAUGCUUAAAGUUAGUGAGGGAGAUAUGAGUUUCCAGCUUCAGUGAUUUUUGACAUUUGUUCCAGUCAUUGGCAGCAGAGAACUGGAAGGAAAGGAGGCCAAAGGAGGAAUUGGCUUUGGUGGUGACCAGUGAGAUAUACCUGCUGGGGGCGUGCUAUGGGUGGGUGAUGCUAUGGUGACCAGUGAGCUGUGAUAAGGUGGGGCUUCACGUAGCAAAGACUUACAGAUGACCUGGAGCCAGUGGGUUUGGCGAUGAAUAUGAAGCGAGGGCCAGCCAACAAGAGCAUACAGGUCGCAGUGGUGGGUAGUAUAUGGGGCUUUGGUGACAAAACGGAUGGCAAUGUGAUAGACUGCAUCCAAUUUGCUGAGUAGACUGUGGGAAACUAUUUUAUAAAUUACAUCACCGAAGUCAAGGAUCGGUAGGAUGGUCAGUUUUACGAGGGUAUGUUUGGCAGCAUGAGUGAAGGAUGCUUUGUUGUGAAAUAGGAAGCUAAUUCUAGAUUUAAUUGUGUAAUUGUGGAUUCUUAAUGUGAGUCUGGAAGGAUAGUGUACAGUCUGUCACAGUUUGAAUCUAGAAUGUCUCCCCCUUUGAAGAGGGGGAUGACCGCGACAGCUUUCCAAUCUUUGGGGAUCUCAGACGAUAAGAGAGGUUGAACAGGCUAGUAAUAAGGUUUGCAACAAUUGCAGCGGAAUUUUUUUAGAAAGAUAGGGUCCAGAUUGUCUAGCCCGGCUGAUUUGUAGGGGUCCAGAUUUUCUCUUUCAGAACAUCAACUAUCUGUAUUUGGGUAAAGGAGAAAUGGGGGAGGUUUGGGCAAGUUGCUGUGGGGGGUGCAGGGCUGUUGACCGGGGUAUGGGUAGCCAGGUGGACAGCCAGUAUUUAUGCUGCAGUAGUUUGUGUCGGGGGGCUAGGGUUAGUUUGUUAUAUCUGGAGUACUUGUCCUGUCUUAUCCAGUGUCCUGUGUGAAUUUAAGUAUGCACUCUCUAAUUCUCUUUCUCUCUUUCCUUCUCUCUCUCGGAGGAGGACCUGAGCCCUAGGACCAUGCCUCUCAGGACUACCUGGCAUGAUGACUCCUUGCUGUCCUCAGUCCACCUGGCCGUGCUGCUGCUCCAGUUUCAACUGUUCUGCCUGCGGCUAUGCACCCUCGACAACUACUGUGAUUAUUAUUAUUUGACCAUGCUGGUCAUUUAUGAACAUUUUGAACAUCUUGGCCAUGUUCUGUUAUAAUCUCCACCCGGCACAGCCAGAAGAGGACUGGCCACCCCUCAUAGACUGAUUCCUCUCUAGGGUUCUUCCUAGGUUUUGGCCUUUCUAGGGAGUUUUUCCUAGCCACCGUGCUUCUACACCUUCAUUGCUGGCUGUUUGGGGUUUUAGGCUGGGUUUCUGUACAGCACUUUGAGAUAUCAGCUGAUGUACGAAGGGCUAGAAAAUACAUUUGAUUUGCAUGUCACCUGCUGAACCUCAUUGCAACAGAUUCUUCGUUGGCAGAAACAAAUAGUGAUGGCUACAAAAGGUUGUGCAGGUGGUCUUUUGCCAAAUGCCAUGUGGAAUAAAACGGGGCGGUCAACCUUAGCUGCUGAAUUUGUAGAGAAUGAGUGCAAACUGCAGUUGAUCCAUCCAAAUCAAACACGUUGGAACUCAACUUACCUGGCUGUGGAGAGGAUCACACGUAUCAUACAAGAGAAGGGGGAGGAUGCCAUAAGAAAUGUGAAGAAUUAGAAGUGAAAAUGCUGAGCCCGGAAGAAAUGUCCUUCUUGAAUGAGUACUGCAAAGUGAGGAAGCCUUUGGUCUCCGCUUUGAACAUUCUACAGUCGGAGACCAACACUCAUAUGUGGUGGCUGCUGCUAGUGAUCCUCUUACUAAAAACAAAACUUCAAAGGCUGGAAGCAUCUUUCCAAAUGUGCCUACAACUUAUCAGAGUAAUUCAGAACGGUCUCCAAAAGUGCUUUGGAGAAAUGAUGGAGGAGCCACAGCUUAUUGCUGCUGUACGUCUUGGACUGACAAAGCUGAUGUCAUCACAGCCGGUAUGGCGUCCCUGAAGAAUUAUCGUGAAACAAUCACACAGGACGAGACUGAGCAUCUAAGGCAGCAUUCAUCUGAUGAAGAGGAUUAGAAGGCACAGGGGAAAUGGUCAGAAGAUACAUGGGAGCUGGAUGGAUAUCUUGCUAGUCCAUCAGACAAAAUGGGUUUACUUCAUUUUUUCCCGUCCCUUUAUAUAACUAGGCAAGUCAGUUAAGAACAAAUUAUUAUUUUCAAUGACGGCUUUGGAACAGUGGGUUAACUGCCUUAUUCAGGGGCAGAACGACAGGGUUUUUCCUUAUCAGCUCGGGGAUUUGAUCAUGCAACCUUUUGGUUACAAGUCCAAUGCUCUAACUACUAGGCUGCCUGCCGCCACAUAUAGAAGUUGUCACUCAAACUCAACACAGGCCUGCCUGCUUCUGCCGCCUGUGAGCAUAUUUUUAGCUGUGCUGGACUACUCUUCACUGCAAGCGAGCCAGGAUAGACUAAAUUAACUGUCACGCUGGUAUAAAGGAUUUUGGAGACCGGUGCAGGAAUACACAAUAGGGGUUUUUAAUACACCCAAAACAAACACGUACACAACACUGGGCUGUACCGAAACAAAAGAGCGAGGGUAAACCUCGUUGACCGACACGGGACGAUACCCGUAACACACAAUAUAUAUAUAUAUAUAUAUAUAUAGCACACAGCAUAACAGCUGCACCAACGCAUAGGUACUCACACCACCAACUGACAUGGGAACAAUAAUCAACAAGACCAUGGAAAUCAAAGGGCACAUCUAUACAAAUACUAAUCAGUGGGAAUAGGGGACAGGUGUGCAUGAUGAACGUUCAGGAGGGAUCCGUGAUAUUAACUUAGAAAAUCAUCUCAUACUGAAACUGAAUGGCAAAUUCAGAGAAGUGAAGUGAGUUACGUGUUCGAUAGGUGGUUCCACAAAAAAAAUUUGCCUUUUGAACAUUCUGUUGAACAUUUGUGUAUGGGAAGUUGAAGAUUUUAUAUUAAAUCAGCUGUGCUGGAUCUUAUCUUGUUGGUUAUGGAACAUUUGCCACACCCUUUUCACAUUCUUGUAAAAGGAGAAUACAAAUAACCAUCAAAAUUGAAAUAGCAAAUUAUUUUAGAAGUAACUUAGUAAUCUUUACUCUGAGUACUUUUUAAAUGUAGUACUUUUUACUUUUACUUGAGUAGUUUUUUACACCAGUACUUUUACUUCUACUUGAUUCCAAUUUCAUUAAAGGAACAGUACUUCUAUUUGAAUGGAUUUUACAGUACUCUUUCCACCACUGCUAAAGUAUCAAAAGUACAUUUAUGAUUCAUUUCAAAUUCCUUAUAUUAAGCAAACGAGACAGCACGAUUGUCUUUUUUUCCCUCCCAUUUACGGAUAGCCAGCAGCACACUCCCAACACUUUAGAUAAUAAUUUACAACAAAGCGUUUGUGUUUAGCGAGUCCGCCAAAUCAGAGGCAGUAAGGAUGACCAGGGAUGUUCUCUUGAUAAGUGUGGUAAUUGGACCAUUUUCCUGUCCUGCUAACCAUUCAAAAUGUAAAGAGUACUUUUGGGUGUAAGCAAAAAUGUAUGGAGUAAAAAGUACAUAAUUUUCUUUAGGAAUGUAGUAAAAGUAAAUGUUGCCAAAAAUAUAAAUCGUAAAGUACAGACUUAAGUAGUAAUUCAAAGAUUUUUUACUAAAGUCCUUUACAGGACUGCAAACAACAGAUGGGAGUGUUUGUUGUGGUGACUGCGCCUUGCUUGUUUUAAUAACAGACACGUGCAGCCCGCUGCUCCCAGGUUUGUCCCUGUCUUUAACCGUCCAACCAGUAGCAACACACUGCUUUGUCUGUCUGAUGCAGAGGCCCCCCUAAGCAAAUAAUCUUCUGAUGACUAUGCAGGAAAUACAAAAAGUUGAUGGAUAGGGAUGAAACAUAGGGGUAAAUGUUAUUCAUAAUGCUUCUGCAAUGGGAUAAUUUAAGUUAACGUAUUAUUUCAAAUGUUGAAAAGCAGGUUUGGCUGAGUAGUUGAGGGAAUUAAAGUCCCUUUAGUAAACUGACUAUGCAUUGGUGGACAGCGCCACUGUUCUGAAAUGGUUUGAACCCUGUAGAGACUAGGCAGCAUUUGAGGACAGCACCACAGUGCUGAAAUUGGACAAAGCACCGGACACUAAGAAAAUGUUAGGAACCGUUGAAUAAAGAAUUUCAAAUAUUAUAUCACACACUCUUUGAUAUUGAUAUUGCUAUUGCCCACCUCUUUGUAGUUUUUUGGUACCUCUCACGUACAUCGUUGAGGGAUAUGCAGGUGUCCACAAUAUUGUUUGUAAGCAAACCAAUCCGGGAGCUGUACCAGUUCCAGUUUGGACUCUUCUGCCACAAUCAUGAGAUAUAGACCCUCAUCGCAAUCCAGCUGGAAAGUAGACAGAGUGGAACUAAUGGAGGAUGUUA